ACUGCAGUUUUCUUAUAUAAGAAAACAGUCUACAGUCAACUAUCUAUGCCUGUGUGUUCCACAGGCAGGCACAGAUGAAAUCGUACGUUGAAAGUUUUUUUUUUCUAAACAGUAGCAACUAACAACUGUUUAUAUAACAUUUACAUUGUUUUAGAUGUUAUGGUAAUCUAGAGAUGAUCCAUUGUAGAUAGGAGGAUGUGUAUGGGUUUUAUGAAAAUUAGCCAUUUUGUAUAAAGGAUUUGAGUAUCCAUAGAUUUUGAUUCUGGAAACAAGCCUCCAUGAAUGCAAAGAGACAACUAUAGAUUUUAUACAAUAGAUAUAAACUUAAGAAUUUUGAAAAAUACAUUACCAUAGUUUCAAGUUUUUUAAAAAACAAGUCUGCUUGCUCAUAAGUAGAAUUAAGACAUAAUUUACCAUCUGUGUCUUUAAGACAUAAUUUACCAUCUAUAAUACUUACAGCUUGUACAAGUUUAAUAUUUGGUUGCUUAUGCAUGCUUAAUAACCCUUAGGUGUUAAUAACUCUUGGGUAGUUCAAAACAGCACAAACAAAAAAACUGUGGUUGUUGUUCAGUGGUAGGAUGCCUUUAUAGCAUGCAUGAGACCAAAGGUUUGAGUCUUAGCAACACAAAACAAACACUCUAUAAUGUAUAUUUCAUUAAUUUUGAAAUAUUGGAAAAGAAUCAUAGAAUUAAAUUUGAAAUUCGUCAUUUUUUAAUAAUCUAACAACUUUUACUAAAGCUUCAUACCCAACGUGGAUUUAUGAUAUUCCUUUUUCUAGCCAGAUAGAACAUUUGCUUAACCUAAGUUCUAGUUAUCACUCAGCUAGUUUUGUUUUGUGAUUGAUACCAAAUUUAAAGAACUUACACAGAAUAAAACUCUAAGAUUGUAAAUUUAACCUACCUCAAAAUAUUUGAGAGAAAGUUUAUGUAUGUUAAUGUAAUUAUGUUAAAUGCAAAUUUUUUUUCAUUUUUUUUAAAUUUUAUUUAAGGAGAAAAGAAAAAAAAAAGCAGGGAAAGGGUACAAGUUAUACAGAUUUACACAAAAAAAAUGAACAGUAGGAAAUCACUAGUUAAUGGAUUACAUAUUGUCAUCUUAGAAAUAAUUGUUCAAGUCACAAAAUUAAAGCUUGUAAAGUGGACAUUCCAUCAAUGAUACUGCAAACAGUUCUGUUCAUUGAUCCAAUAAAACUCUGUGAUAUCAUUUUCUAUCUUAUACACUUAAAUAUACAUGCAGUUAUAUAGUUUGGAGCACUUUCUUUUCCUCUCUUUUGUACCAUGACUAUUACACAUUUUGGGUUUCAUUGCUCCCACGGUUCUUAUUACUUUUUUGGAAGAGAGUAAAACCAAAUGUGACAUAACAGAACAGAAUCGGUCAAGUCAAAAGGGUGGACAUAAUAGAUAAUGUAAAAACAUAAUACAAGGUGAUCAACAAUGGUUACCAUAAUGCCUCCCGCUAUCUCUAAUAGAAUUGCCUAUAUCAUUAGUUGUAAUGCAAUUGAACAAAACAGUAAAGAACAAAACUGACAAAACCAAAACAAUGGAGACAUUGUAGGUCUUCAAAAGUAGAUAAAAGUCAACAGAAAUGGGCGUCAUAAUGAAUCUCAUUAUCUUCACAGCUGAUGCCUAAACUUUCGAACCUGAUACUAUCCAGCAAAACAGAAUAGGGGAACAUCAGUUAAAAACCAGAUGGUGAGAGUAAUACAGGGCUUUAAAUCAAGGUAAUGAAAAGUCAAAGUGGGUUACUAUAAUAUAUCCUGCUAUUUUUUUCCUUUAAUUAAAAGGAUAAAGAUAAAAAAGUAAAUAAUGGAGUGGAGAUUGAGAUAAAAGAGGGCAUAACAACGAAACAGCGCAGAUCAAAAAAAAAAAAAAAAGGGGAGAAUUGUUUGAUGGAGAAAACAGAGAAAGCAUAGAAUACGUGAAACAGGUUCAAAGGGACUACCAAGAUACUAAGAAGUCUAUAGAAGACUGGCAUAACAGCUUGAAAGAAACUAAGGACAGACUAUCUGAACUGGAGGGCAGACUUCUAAUAUGGGAGAAUGAAAUGAAAAACUUCUUAAAAAUAACAAAGAAAGAAACAGCAAUAAUACAAAGACAAGAAGAUGAUAAGAGGAUCCAUAACUUAAGGAUUAAGAACAUAAAAGAAGAAGUAGGGACACAAACAAGUGAACUACAAAAGCUACUCACAGAAAUAAUCCAGGAGAAUUUUCCUAAUUUAGCAAAAGGUAAAGAUACUCAGAUGUAUGAGGCAUACAGGACCCCAGCUACCUACAACCCAAACAGAGCAACACCCAGGCAUAUAAUAAUAAAAAUUCCAGAAAUUCAAUACAAGAACAGAAUAUUAAAAGCUGUAAGAGACAAGAAACAGACCACUUACAAGGGAACACCCAUCAGAAUUACAGCAGAUUUCUCGGCACAAACCAUCAAAUCACGAAGAGCGUGGGGGGAAAUAAUUCAAGCUUUGAAAGAUAAUAAUCUCCAGCCAAGAUUGAGAUAUCCUGCACAACUGUCCCUGGAAAUUGAUGGAAAAACAAGGUGCUUCCAGGAUAAAGAGGAACUGGGGGAAUUUGCAACCACCAAUUCAACUCUACAGAGAGUAUUGCAUGAUAUUCUAAAAAAAGAAAAAUACAAAGAAUCCAGAAAUAAUGGCAGAGAGGCCACAAUGAAUGGAGCAGAGAACAAAAUGAAGAAGACAAACUGACAGCUACUGACAGAAAAAGAGCUCAACAGAAACGAGGCAGAGAAGAUUGGAUGAUAGGAACAGCUAUUUUGGAGAAAAUGACAUCUUAAUAGAAACAGACUGGCAGAAUGGAUCAAGAAACAACAUCCAACGAUAUGCUGUCUACAAGAAACCCAUCUAACCCAAAAGGAAACUCAGACUGAAAGUCAAAGGAUGGAAAACAAUACUUCAUGCCACAGGAACUGAAAAAAAAAGCGGGGGUAGGUAUUCUGUUUGCAGACAAUGUGAACUUCAAACCAAGAAUGAUCCUAAGAGAUAAAGAAGGCCACUACAUACUGGUUAGGGAAAAACUUCAAGAGGAAGAGAUAACAAUCUUAAAUAUAUAUGCACCAAAUUCCAGAGCACCCAGUUAUACAAAGUAUUAAUAGAAAUGAAAAAAUAAUUCAUGUUCAUACAGUUAUAAGUAUAGUUGUUGUGAAACAUUGCAGUGUUUGAAUAUUAUAUAUAGGCAUAAAUAUUUUAAUUACUUUUCAUGGUCCUUGCCUUCAUUCAUCUACUCACCUAUUUAUUCAAGUAUUCAUUUAUCUAUAGAAUGCUUAUGAGUAUUUACUAAAUACUGGUUUAUAUAUGAGAAACAUGAUAAGCAAAUGAUUCCUACUUUUAUAUUUGCAUUUCUUUUAAGAUGUGCAGUUUUAAACCAAGGGUGGUGUUGCAUACUGUAAUCACAGCACUCAGGAGGCUAAGGCAGGAGGACUAUGAAUCUCAGGCAAACCAAAGGUGAACUAUAUAUAUAGUGAGACAAUUCUCAAAAAUGGGAAACAAAACUACACAGAAAAAGAUGUGUAGUUUCAAAACUGUAUCAUGUUUUAAACCUAGUAAUAUUCUUCAAUUACCAUAGGUCUUACAUUACAACUUGGUCCUAUACUAAUUUUAAAAUAGCACUCAUAAUUUUUGUAUUAGUAACUAUGUUGGAAGAGACAUAAGAAGUGUUGUUUUAUGAAUAUCAGUAUGAUUUUUAAAAUACUAGACUUGUGAUUAGAAAGCAGAAAAUUCAGCGGAAUGAAUUUAUCUUUGUGAUUUAUAAUAUCUUUGUGAUUUUAUCUCAUAACUUUCAUGUUUUUAAAAUAAUAUAAUUGCCCUUAGUUUGGAUUUACUGCAAAGUAACUUUAUAGUUUUAUUUUUCUCUUGAAAUUAAUUGGAGAAAAUGAAACAGAUGUCUUCUAAAAUUUGAGAAUUUUAGAUUUGACUUUUGAUUGUUUUUGUGAUAUCUGGCCCUAAUGUCAUAACACAAAACUAUGUUAUCAUUAAAAGUAUUUUAUCAUUUUA